rnacentral:rRNA from 1 species
CUACGUGCCAGCAGCCGCGGUAAUACGUAGGUCCCGAGCGUUGUCCGGAUUUAUUGGGCGUAAAGCGAGCGCAGGCGGUUAGAUAAGUCUGAAGUUAAAGGCUGUGGCUUAACCAUAGUACGCUUUGGAAACUGUUUAACUUGAGUGCAAGAGGGGAGAGUGGAAUUCCAUGUGUAGCGGUGAAAUGCGUAGAUAUAUGGAGGAACACCGGUGGCGAAAGCGGCUCUCUGGCUUGUAACUGACGCUGAGGCUCGAAAGCGUGGGGAGCAAACAGGAUUAGAUACCCUGGUAGUCCACGCCGUAAACGAUGUCGAUUUGGAGGUUGUGCCCUUGAGGCGUGGCUUCCGGAGCUAACGCGUUAAAUCGACCGCCUGGGGAGUACGGCCGCAAGGUUAAAACUCAAAUGAAUUGACGGGGGCCCGCACAAGCGGUGGAGCAUGUGGUUUAAUUCGAUGCAACGCGAAGAACCUUACCUGG